GUAGUCUGCAACCCGACUACAUGAAGCUGGAAUCGCUAGUAAUCGCGAAUCAGAAUGUCGCGGUGAAUACGUUCCCGGGUCCUUGUACACACCGCCCGUCACACCAUGGGAGUCGGAAAUGCCCGAAGUCAGUGACCCAACCGCAAGGAGGGAGCUGCCGAAGGUGGAGCCGGUAACUGGGGUGAAGUCGUAACAAGGUAGC
rnacentral:rRNA from 1 species